GAAAUUAUGGUUACACAAUCCGUGGGGAUAGGUUUAAAGGAAUUUAUCCACUGCUCCCAAACGAACUAGUAGCUCCAGGAGAUAAUUCUUCCCCACCACUGAGUAGAAUGUAUCAAGAACUAGGAGAUAUAUGGAAUGAUGCCAAGACUCAAUCAACACCUCUCUAUCCUAGAGUUACCAUGGCAAAGGACCUCAUGGUAGCUCAAUAAAAGAAAGCACAGGGAGAAAUGGAUAACGCUGGUGAGGUUAUCAGACGAGGUCGUAAUGAUGAAGAUAAAGAGCAAAGUCUAAGUGGUAAUCACACAGUGAAUGGAGAGAACAGAAGAGAGGAAGAUGAACUGAUACGACUGAGAACGGAAUAUGAAGAAAAAAUUAAAACUGAACAAACAGGAGACAGUGGGAGGAGAAGAAGAGAGGAGAGAGAAUGUGAAUAAUUCACUGAACACGAGAGUGGAACUGCCCUUCACCCAUUUCAGACAAGCACUCUACCGACAGUUAAGGGAAUGUUUCCCACCACCAGAGGUGUUGCAAGACCGGGUGAACUGCUCUUCACUGAAGAUGAUGAUACCCUCGAUUAGAUGGAUAAGAUGAAGACAGAAUGGCAAGGAGAGACAACUGAGAGAUUUGAAGGCCCUAAUAAGGGGGACCACAUUAGACACUACUGCGGAGCCUGGAAAAAGAUGAAGACUGAGGACAGAGCAAGAAAGGCUGGACUCGUCGCGCAGCUUAAGAAGGCCCAGCUAGCUCAGCCGGACAAAGGAAAGACCAGCAACCUGAUGGUGGCUGAACCUCGUGCCACCCAGCAGCAACAACCACCACAGCCUCUUCCACCACCUCCUUCACAGUUUACCCAAGCACCUGCAGCUCAGUUCCCUCCUCAACCAUAUGGGAACCCACAACCAUACCUACCAACACUGAGACAACCGCUGGUGUGCUGGAAUUGCGGAAUGACAGGUCAUAUGAGAAACAUGUGCCCUCACCAACCACAGCAUCAGUCACCCUGGCAGCAGAGUGGAAGAGGUCAAUGGAGAGGGAAUGCUGGCAGAUGGAACUUCCAAUGGUGGCUUGCCUGUCUUGGAUAGGGGUUUGGAAAGGUAAGGACUUUAUUAACGCGUCUGGGACCCCUAUUAAAAACCGUAUGCAGAUUGAAGCCCUGCAUGAAGCCAUGUUGCUUACAGCGCAGUUGGCUAUUCUUAAGGUUCGAGCCCACACAGGCAACACUGACAGCAUUAUUAUAGGUAUUACAGCUGCUGAUGCUGCUGCUAAGAAUGCUGCUUCCCGCCGCCAUACUCAUGCUGUUCUGCUUGCCUCCCUGUGUAUGUCUGAAAUCACUGAUCUGGACCAACACCAGGCUGCGGAUGCACUUAAUCACCCUUUGUGGGAGUUUAGAGGCUGCUCCAGAGGCCCUGGUGGCCCGUGGAGACAAUCACUCUCUGGCAGAACAGUUCUGCCUCUGCCUCUCAUCUCCUGUGUGUGUCGCUUGGUCCACGGGGUGGGAGAUGGUAAGACUAAUAUCUGACACCUGGUUUUGUCCAAAUCUGAUUGAAAUUUGCAAAACACACGUGUAUAAAUGUACUACAUGCAUGCAAUACAACAUUGGUAAGGGUACCCCCUUGAAACAAGGGAAAUUUCCAGUGCCAGUAAUGGGGUUACUGAGAUGGCUAAUUAAACCAUAGAAGGGGGGCUUGCUAAAGCAUGCCACUCCACAGGGAAGUCAUAGGUAGAAUGUCUCCCCUUAGUCUUGAUGAAAAUGUGCAAUAGUAUAAACCGCGGAACAGGGCGUAGCCCACAUGAGCACGCCCCCAAUGACUCCAAAACUGACAGACCUGACUGCGCUGGAUGAUGAUUUGAGUAAAUAUAUGAAGAAACUAACCCAUGCUGUUAGGUAUUUGUAUUCCCAAUACAGGAAAGCCCAGGACGUUCCAGAACAGGGCGACCCAGACAGCCUGCCUGUUGACGUUGGAGAAUGGAUCAAGCUGAAGGGCAUAGACACUAUCAGAAGGCGUCUACGUUCAGACUCCUCCUGUCUGGAUCCCACCGUGGUUGUCUGGUUUUCUGAGAACACAAAGUUGCCACAGACCUGAUGAAACCAGCCCCCUGUCAGAAGAUGCUUACACUCGUUCACAUUGUUAUGACUUUAUACUUGUGAUGAAAGGUCAAGUUUCGGUCAAACCCAAUUCUGAGUUUGUACUUAGUGAUAAGAUGGUUCUCGCUGUCAGGGGGAGGUUAGAUUUAUUAAAAUGUUGUUGCUAGGGAAAGUUACGUAAGGGGGAUUGGGGAGGCUAUAUGAGUUACAGGAUGUCUUAGACAUUUUGCAGAACUUGGGGAGAACUAUCAUAUGCUGUUAAACUGUACUCUGUAUCAACUUCUGCCUACAAUUGUAUUACUACAAGGAGUAUUUUAAUUAUUAAAGAGUCUGUGCUUCCUUUCCA
ensembl:lncRNA